GAUGAACGCUGGCGGCGUGCCUAAUACAUGCAAGUCGAGCGAACAGACGAGGAGCUUGCUCCUCUGACGUUAGCGGCGGACGGGUGAGUAACACGUGGAUAACCUACCUAUAAGACUGGUAUAACUUCGGGAAACCGGAGCUAAUACCGGAUAAUAUAUUGAACCGCAUGGUUCAAUAGUGAAAGACGGUUUUGCUGUCACUUAUAGAUGGAUCCGCGCCGCAUUAGCUAGUUGGUAAGGUAACGGCUUACCAAGGCGACGAUGCGUAGCCGACCUGAGAGGGUGAUAGGCCACACUGGAACUGGGACACGGUCCAGACUCCUACGGGAGGCAGCAGUAGGGAAUCUUCCGCAAUGGGCGAAAGCCUGACGGAGCAACGCCGCGUGAGUGAUGAAGGUCUUCGGAUCGUAAAACUCUGUUAUUAGGGAAGAACAAAUGUGUAAGUAACUAUGCACGUCUUGACGGUACCUAAUCAGAAAGCCACGGCUAACUACGUG
rnacentral:rRNA from 1 species